rnacentral:rRNA from 1 species
UACGAGGGGGGCGAGCGUUGUUCGGAAUUAUUGGGCGUAAAGGGUGCGUAGGCGGUUUGGUAAGUCUGAUGUGAAAUCUAUGGGCUCAACUCAUAGUCUGCAUCGGAAACUGCCGGGCUUGAGUAUGGGAGAGGUGAGUGGAAUUCCUGGUGUAGCGGUGAAAUGCGCAGAUAUCAGGAGGAACACCGGUGGCGAAGGCGGUUCUCUGGGCAUGUCCUGACGCUGAGGAGCGAAAGUGUGGGGAGCGAACAGG